AAGCAGGACCUCAUAAGGAAAUCUACCCCUAUGUCAUCCAGGAACUUAGACCAACUUUGAAUGAACUGGGAAUCUCCACUCCAGAGGAACUGGGCCUCGACAAAGUGUAAACCCCAUGGAUGGGCUUCCCAAGGACUUAUUGAUAAUGCUACUUGAUUGUAAACAGUCACCUGGAAAUACUGAUGAUAACAUAUUACCUUAUUCGAACAAGUUUUCCUUUGUUGAGUACCAAACCAUGUAAUGUAACUUGGACUUUAAUAAAAGGGAAAUGAGUUUGAACUGAAA